AGUGAACGCUGGCGGCAGGCCUUACACAUGCAAGUCGAACGGCAACACAUUAAGCUCUCGCUCUUCCGGGUGGCGAGUGGCGUACCGGUGCGUAAUAAAUCGGGAUCUAUAUCUUCGUGGGGGAUCACGUAGUGCAACUUACGCCAAUACCGCAUACGCCCUGCGUGUCAAAGCAUGGGGUCUUCGGACCUUGCGCGAUUGAAUUAGCCGAUUUCUGAUUAGGUAGUUGGCGGGGUAAAGGCCCACCAAGUCGACGAUCCGUAGCUGGUCUGAGAGGAUGAUCAGCCACACUGGAACUGAGACACGGCCCAGACUCCUACGGGAGGCAGCAGUGGGGAAUAUUGGACAAUGGGCGCAAGCCUGAUCCAGCCAUGCCGCGUGGGGGAAGAAGGCCUUCGGGUUGUAAAGCCCUUUUGUUGGGAAAGAAAAGCAGCAGGUUAAUACCCCGCAGUUAUGACGGUACCCAAAGAAUAAGCACCGGCUAACUUCGUG
rnacentral:rRNA from 1 species